AUGCUGAUCUCAAAUGCUCUCUCAGCGGAUCAUGGCAGCAGCUACCUUGCGAGAGGCUUCUCGCCGGUCUCCAUCCAGAACGGCACCACCACCGCCAUCCUGGUGUCGCCAAGCGGUGCCUUCGCCGCUGGGUUCUACAGGGUGGCCACCAACGCCUUCGCCUUCUCCAUCUGGUUCACCGGCUCGUCGGGGAAGACCGUCGCCUGGACGGCCAACCGCGACGGGCCGGUGAAUGGCUCGGGGUGGCUCACCUUCAGGAAAGACGGGGGCUUGGCCCUUCUGGACUACAGCGGCACGGCCGUCUGGAGCACCAACACGACCGCGACCCGUGCCAGCCGCGCAGAGCUUCUCGACAGCGGCAACCUUGUCGUCGCGGAUCCAGACGGUCGGAGCCUCUGGAGGAGCUUCGACUGGCCGACCGACACGCUUCUGCCAUCGCAGCCACUGACUUGGCAGACGAAGCUGGUGUCAGCAUCUGCCAGGGGUUUGCUCUAUUCAGGGUUCUAUACGUUACACUUUGACACUAACAAUGAGCUAAAUCUCUUCUACAAUGGCCCUGAGAUUAGUAGCAUAUAUUGGCCCAAUCCUUCCAACCAACCUUGGGAAAAUCUCAGGACUACUUUCAAUAGUAGCCGUUAUGCUGUUCUGCAAGAGACAGGCCAGUUUGUAUCGAGUGACAGCUUCAAAUUUGAAGCUUGUGAUCUUGGUGAAAAGGUCAUGAGGAGGUUGACUCUAGAUUACGACGGCAACCUUAGGCUCUACAGCCUAAACGAGACAACAGGCAAUUGGUUGGUCUCUUGGAUGGCAUUCAGCCGAGUCUGCGAUAUACAUGGACUGUGUGGCAAAAAUAGCAUCUGCACAUACCUACCGAAGCUUGAGUGCUCUUGCCUCAAAGACUUCGAGGUGGUUGAUGCAAGCGACUGGAGCAAAGGGUGCAGGCGCAAGUCAAACAUAGCAGCCAACUCACACAAACUGAGAAGAAACGAGACAAACAUCACGACCACCCAGGAUUUCUCAUUCAGAAAACUCGCAGACACUGUGUUCUAUGGGUAUGACCUGGACUUCGCUGAUCAGGUGCCGAUUCAGUAUUGCAGACGCAUGUGCCUGGACGAAGUUGAUUGCCAAGCUUAUGCUUACCAUCCGGGAAGAGGUGAAUGUUAUACGAAGGUGUACCUUUUCAAUGGCAGGAACUUGACAUAUCCAUCCACUGACAUUUAUCUGAAAGUUCCCAAGGGGUUGCUGCAUUCGCCAGAAGUGGCUUCUACAGUAACCCAUGAAUGCAAAGUUCAUGAAAAAGAGGUCAACACUUCAUCGCCAAUGUCCAAGGAUAGCUCUUCUAAGUUUGGCUACUUCCUUUCUUCUGCAUUAACACUGCUUUUCAUUGAAGUUAUAUUAAUCAUCGCCGGGUGUUGGGUCGUUCACAAAUGGGAGGGAAGACCAGAGAUUAUAGAUGAAGGUUACACGAUAAUUUCCAGCCAGUUCCGAAUAUUUAGCUACAAGGAGUUACAGAAGGCAACCAAUUGCUUCCAAGAAGAGCUAGGAAGUGGUGGGUCAGGGGCAGUUUACAAGGGAGUCCUUGAUGAUGAAAGGAAGAUCGCAGUGAAGAAGCUAAAUGAUGUGAUCCAAGCAGAGCAGGAGUUCAGGUCUGAGGUAAGCGUCAUAGGCAGAAUUUAUCAUAUGAACCUGGUCAGAAUCUGGGGGUUUUGUGUCGAGAAGACACGCAGGCUCUUGGUUUCUGAAUUCAUUGAGAAUGGUUCUUUAGCCACAGUUCUGUUUGACCAUCAGACCAUAUCUCCUGUGCUCCAAUGGAACCAAAGGUAUAAUAUUGCACUUGGGGUGGCAAAAGGACUCGCCUAUCUCCACCAUGAGUGCCUUGAAUGGAUAGUGCAUUGUGAUGUCAAACCAGAGAACAUAUUGUUAGACAAAGACUUUGAGCCCAGGAUUGCAGAUUUUGGACUGGUUAAGCUACAAAAGCGAGGAUCAAGAGCACUGAUGUUGUCAAAGGUACAUGGGACCAGAGGAUACAUUGCACCGGAAUGGGCUCUAAAUCUUCCAAUCACUGGUAAGGCCGAUGUUUACAGCUAUGGAGUAGUGCUUCUUGAGUUAGUGAAGGGGAUUCGGGUCUCCAGUUGGCUGGUUGAGGGUGAGGAGGAGGUGGAAAUGGCUGUUAGAUGCUCUACUGAAAUUCUUAAAGAGAAACUAGCAGGCGAAGACCAGUCAUGGCUUCUGGAGUUUGUCGACCACAGACUAGAUGGAGAAUUCGACCAUUCGAAAGCGAUAGUAAUGCUUAAGAUGGCAAUAUCAUGUGUGCAAGAGGAGAGGAGCAGAAGACCGAGCAUGAGCCAGGUGGUCGAAACUCUGCUUUCACUUGUGGAAUAA
rnacentral:rRNA from 1 species